rnacentral:rRNA from 1 species
AUUGAACGCUGGCGGCAUGCUUUACACAUGCAAGUCGAACGGCAGCACGGGCUUCGGCCUGGUGGCGAGUGGCGAACGGGUGAGUAAUAUAUCGGAACGUACCCAGAAGUGGGGGAUAACGUAGCGAAAGUUACGCUAAUACCGCAUACGAUCUACGGAUGAAAGCAGGGGACCGCAAGGCCUUGUGCUCCUGGAGCGGCCGAUAUCUGAUUAGCUAGUUGGUGAGGUAAAGGCUCACCAAGGCGACGAUCAGUAGCUGGUCUGAGAGGACGACCAGCCACACUGGAGCUGAGACACGGUCCAGACUCCUACGGGAGGCAGCAGUGGGGAAUUUUGGACAAUGGGCGCAAGCCUGAUCCAGCAAUGCCGCGUGAGUGAAGAAGGCCUUCGGGUUGUAAAGCUCUUUUGUCAGGGAAGAAACGGUAGAGGCUAAUAUCCUUUGCUAAUGACGGUACCUGAAGAAUAAGCACCGGCUAACUACGUG